GUCCACGCCCUAAACGUUGAUUACUCGUUGUUGGCGAUAUACUGUCAGCGACCAAGCUAAAGCGUUAAGUAAUCCACCUGGGAAGUACGACCGCAAGGUUGAAACUCAAAGGAAUUGACGGGGGCCCCGCACAAGCGGAGGAGCAUGUGGUUUAAUUCGAUGAUACGCGAGGAACCUUACCUGGGCUUGAAAGUUAGUGACCUCCCGUGAAAGCGGGAUUCUCUUCGGAGCACAAAACUAGGUGCUGCAUGGCUGUCGU
rnacentral:rRNA from 1 species